UCAUGUGAUUUUCAUCCUAACCUCUAUAUUAUAUAAACUCUUGAUUUUCAAGUAGUUUUAAAUUACCAGAAAAAAAAUCCCUAGUAAUCUCCGUUCUAACCUCCGCAUCAUUAUUUCCUCGAUAUCGAUCAAAAGAAUUUAAGACUUAUCCACAAAAAAAUUUUCGAUUCGAGCAACGAUAAUAUUGCUAAUGGCAAAUUCAUUAAGCGAGACCCGCGAGGCCAUCGCGCUUUAUUUGGCAAACUAGCCUUGAGUAGUAGCGUGUAUAGUAUACCCCACCAAAUUCAAUGGACUUUUAAUCAAGCCGAAGGACGCGUAGUACUCCACGUAGUAUAGCCGCCGUGUAAUUUCACGGUCGAGAGAAAACGAGGGUACUACGACGUACUCGAGCGAGCAACGCAUCCGCGGGAAGGAAGGAACAGUGAGCGUAUGUGUACACACAUUUACUACGAUCGAGAACGGCGAUACACAAACGGCCGAGGAAACGAGCGUAGUAUGCGAGCUUAAAUGGGCCUUGCGUGGAUAACGCAGGAUAUUUAAUGCGGGUUGAGACCUAUAACAGGAACAAAUAAUAUACGUAAUAUGACGGAGGAAAUAUUCGAUACGUGGUAUUUAACCUUUGACUGGUUGUGAUUGGGUCGUUUGCGACCUGAGCUGUGAAUAAAAGGAAUAAUGCACGUUUGGAAUUUCUUGUAGUAUAUUUAAAAAAAUAUUUUAAUGAUUAAUAUAAAUAAAAUAUAUAU